GACGUAGGGCGCGAGCGUUGUCCGGAUUUAUUGGGCGUAAAGAGCUCGUAGGCGGCUUGUCGCGUCGUCCGUGAAAACCUGCGGCUCAACUGCAGGCUGGCGGUCGAUACGGGCAGACUUGAGUUCGGCAGGGGAGACUGGAAUUCCUGGUGUAGCGGUGAAAUGCGCAGAUAUCAGGAGGAACACCGGUGGCGAAAGCGGCUCUCUGGCCCGGAUCUGACGCUGAGGCGCGAAAGCGUGGGGAGCAAACAGG
rnacentral:rRNA from 1 species